rnacentral:rRNA from 1 species
CCCCCUUGUGGGGUACUCGAGUGGCGAACGGGUGAGUAACACGUGAGUAACCUACCCUUGACUUUGGGAUAACUUCAGGAAACUGGGGCUAAUACCGGAUAGGAGCUCCUGCUGCAUGGUGGGGGUUGGAAAGUUUCGGCGGUUGGGGAUGGACUCGCGGCUUAUCAGCUUGUUGGUGGGGUAGUGGCUUACCAAGGCUUUGACGGGUAGCCGGCCUGAGAGGGUGACCGGCCACAUUGGGACUGAGAUACGGCCCAG